GAGAGAGAGAGAGAGAGAGAGAGAGAGAGAGAUAAGGUGGAUGUAAUCCGUACCCCCUUUGCACGACCACAUUUCGACCAGCCUAGGGGGGAAUAUCCAACAGCAGCCUCUCGUGGUCGGCCUGGCUGCGGAGCUUAGCCCACUGGCUGCCGCAGAGAGUCCUCUCUCUGGCACGCUACAGGAGAAGCCAGAGACAAGAUGUUCUGAAGCGAUCCACCGUUCUAAAAAUACUAUCCCCCCAUAGUGGCAACUGAAGUGAACAGGAAGUGGGAGAGUUGAUUUCAUACGGGCCCUUAAACUCCAUCGAGAGGGCUGUAUUGGGUCUGAUGAUGUGCAGGGUCAGGGGGACGGUUUCUGCAACACAUAUUGAAGGAGGAGGUAAUGAUAAUGAUAUGAACGUGUUGGGAAACACAACUCCCUACCGCCCACUACACAAUGGCAUCUGAUGUCUACCUACAACCUUAAAAAAGAAAUAGUCAGAGACGGAGGAUUGCGGAGUGACACAGCCUGUCAAACAGCUGUUGAUCCCUCCCCCUCUGACUGAUGUAUUGAUGUUUCCGGGUUGGAGCUCUGAGUCUUGUUGAUUAGUGGCUUUGCCUUCCAUCAAUUGCAAGCAGUAGUCUGCUCAGUGGUUGGUUGGAAUGAGUGAGAACGGCUUGCUGAAGGUAUUUGUAUCAAUCAAGCAGCACAGUUAUAUUGUGUGUGUGUGUGUGACCAAACAAAGCAAUUGUUAAGAUUGUCUGUGAAGUUGUUGCAUCUCGGUCAGAGGCUGAUGUUCUGAUGUGUCAUUGCUAUAUCAGGGUAUGUGUGUCUCCACUAACAGGCAUACCAUCUAACAUUAAUCGUGCUUACGGCUUGCAUUUUCUAUCUCAAAAAAGGCUUGUUAACAGGAUAUACUGUUCGUGGUGUGUGUGUGUGUGUGUGUGUGUGUGUGUGUGUGUGUGUGUGUGUGUGUGUGUGUAUGUGUGUGUGUGUGUGUGUGUGUGUGUGUGUGUGUGUGUGUGUGUGUGUGUGUGUGUGUGUGUGUG